CCGUGGGGCUCGAGACCUCAGAGCCACCUGCCUCUAAAAGAAUAGGAAUGUGUCGUUCCCCCUGCUCAAAAUAAAGUUGUUUCUUACUAUACCUGUCUGCUAUCCCUUUGUAGCAGCCAGGGACACUUGGUCUCAUACAU
ensembl:snoRNA SNORA63 Small nucleolar RNA SNORA63